rnacentral:rRNA from 1 species
UACGGGGGGGGCAAGCGUUGUUCGGAAUUACUGGGCGUAAAGGGCCUCGUAGGCGGCCAACUAAGUCAGACGUGAAAUCCCUCGGCUUAACCGGGGAACUGCGUCUGAUACUGGAUGGCUUGAGUUUGGGAGAGGGAUGCGGAAUUCCAGGUGUAGCGGUGAAAUGCGUAGAUAUCUGGAGGAACACCGGUGGCGAAGGCGGCAUCCUGGACCAACACUGACGCUGAGUGAGCGAAAGCCAGGGGAGCAAAACGGG